AUGGUCGGAGCUCCCGCCGGACCUGCUGACCGCGUCAGCCUCCGCGCCGUCUGCCGGCCGUGGCGCUCCGCCGCGCGCCUGCAGCCGACGCCCUCGCCGUUCGCGUGGCUCUUCGUCCGCGCCGACACCUUCCUCGCCCUCCCCGAGGGCGCGCUCCACCGCAUGCCCCUCGACCGCCACGAAAUCCUCUUGCGUGUCCCCACUGCCACUGGCCGCAUGUUCUUCCUGGUGCACCGCGACGGCAGCUGCUACCUGACGAACCCUUCUUCUUCCGGGGAGAAUGACAUUACCCCUCUGCACAUUAGCAGCGACAGCCUCAAGAUCGACCUCGGCUGCCGCAGCUACAACUGGAUCAGGAAGGUGGUGGUGUCCGAUCGCAUCGUCGCUGUUCCCUACUGUGGCAUGGUCACAGUCUUUCCUCGCAAGACGGCGUCGCCAGGUGCCAGAUUGUGCUGGGUGCCCCCUGCAAUGUUUCCAACACGAAGCAUCCAUGUCGACACCGACAUUGCACUCUUCCAAGGUGAGCUCUACGUAGUCCUCACCAAUAAACACAACAAGAGUGGCUCUGAACUGCCGGAGCUCCAUCGCCUGGAAAUCGGCGACGAGCAGAACCGCGUCAGAAACGGCGUGGACCGAACCUGGCACUCCGUCUUCUACCUUGUCGCAUGCGGCGACCGGCUGCUAAUGGUGGAAAGGCGGACCCUCGUUGAGCGCUUCGUGGUCUGGGAGGGUGGCACCCGAGAGCGCGGUUCGAGGCCCAUACGGACCCAGCUCGAGGCCUGUGAGGGGGUGGACCUGAUCGGCGGCCAUGGGCACUGGAGCAAGGUGGACACGUUGAUGGGGCAUGCGCUCUUUGUCAGCCGAGGCUGCUCUCACUCGCUCCCUGCAGCAGCCCAAUGUGGAGCUCGAGAGGAUUGCAUCUACUUUGCGAUGACUGAGAGUCCUAGACGGAAAAGGGAGCCUCAGGAUGAUGAUGUUUUCCGCUGUGUUGUGUACAACGUGAGAGACAGGACAAUGGAGCCAUUGGAGACGGGCGAACCGACGGUCAGUCCAUGGGAACCCACCUGGUUUUUCCCUGCUCAUGCUUGA
rnacentral:rRNA from 1 species